UACGAAGGGGGCUAGCGUUGUUCGGAAUUACUGGGCGUAAAGCGCACGUAGGCGGACAUUUAAGUCAGGGGUGAAAUCCCGGGGCUCAACCCCCGGAACUGCCUUUGAUACUGGGUGUCUUGAGUGUGGAAGAGGUGAGUGGAAUUCCGAGUGUAGAGGUGAAAUUCGUAGAUAUUCGGAGGAACACCAGUGGCGAAGGCGGCUCACUGGUCCACAACUGACGCUGAGGUGCGAAAGCGUGGGGAGCAAACAGG
rnacentral:rRNA from 1 species